GCAAACUUGGUCAUUUAGAGGAAGUAAAAGUCGUAACAAGGUUUCCGUAGGUGAACCUGCGGAAGGAUCAUUAGUGGAGUUUGGGGGUUUAUUUACCGUGAAGCGGGGGGUAUGUGGUGGUGCAGGUGUUGUGGUGUCGUGGUCUGGUGUUGUGGUCUGGUGUCGUGGUGCCUGGUGGUGCCAUGGCGUCCAGCAUCACGGCACUCCGUCCAGCAUUGCGGCGCCCACACCGCCACAUGACAACAUAACACAACCAAAACACAACCAAAAAUCAUAUCACCUAUACAACUCCCAGCAGUGGAUCUCUUGGCUCCUGCAUCGAUGAAGAACGCAGC
rnacentral:misc_RNA from 1 species